AGAGUUUGAUCCGGGCUCAGGAUGAACGCUGGCGGCGUGCUUAACACAUGCAAGUCGAACGAGCCUUCGGGCUAGUGGCGGACGGGUGAGUAACGCGUGAGAAUCUGCCCUCAGGAGGGGGAUAACGGCUGGAAACGGCCGCUAAUACCCCAUAUGCCGCGAGGUGAAAUGAGAAAUCGCCUGAGGAUGAGCUCGCGUCUGAUUAGCUAGUUGGUGGGGUAGAGCCUACCAAGGCAUCGAUCAGUAGCUGGUCUGAGAGGAUGAUCAGCCACACUGGGACUGAGACACGGCCCAGACUCCUACGGGAGGCAGCAGUGGGGAAUUUUCCGCAAUGGGCGCAAGCCUGACGGAGCAACGCCGCGUGAGGGAUGAAGGCCUCUGGGCUGUAAACCUCUUUUCUCAAGGAAGAAGAACUGACGGUACUUGAGGAAUAAGCCACGGCUAAUUCCGUGCCAGCAGCCGCGGUAAUACGGGAGUGGCAAGCGUUAUCCGGAAUUAUUUGGCGUAAGGCGUCCGCAGGCGGUCUUGAAAGUCUGUUGUUAAAGCGUGGAGCUCAACUCCAUUUCAGCAAUGGAAACUAGAAGACUAGAGUGUGGUAGGGGCAGAGGGAAUUCCCGGUGUAGCGGUGAAAUGCGUAGAUAUCGGGAAGAACACCAGUGGCGAAGGCGCUCCGCUGGGCCAUAACUGACGCUCAUGGACGAAAGCCAGGGGAGCGAAAGGGAUUAGGUACCCCUGUAGUCCUGGCCGUAAACGAUGAACACUAGGUGUCGGGGGAAUCGACCCCCUCGGUGUCGUAGCCAACGCGUUAAGUGUUCCGCCUGGGGAGUUCGCACGCAAGUGUGAAACUCAAAGGAAUUGACGGGGGCCCGCACAAGCGGUGGAGUAUGUGGUUUAAUUCGAUGCAACGCGGGGAACCUUACCAGGGUUUGACAUCCUGCGAAUCUUUUGGAAACAGAAGAGUGCCUUCGGGAGCGCAGAGACAGGUGGUGCAUGGCUGUCGUCAGCUCGUGUCGUGAGAUGUUGGGUUAAGUCCCGCAACGAGCGCAACCCACGUCUUUAGUUGCCAGCAUUACUUGGGCACUCUAGAGAGACCGCCGGUGGUAAACCGGAGGAAGGUGUGGAUGACGUCAAGUCAUCAUGCCCCUUACAUCCUGGGCUACACACGUACUACAAUGCUACGGACAGAGGGCAGCAAACUCGCGAGAGCUAGCAAAUCCCAUAAACCGUGGCUCAGUUCAGAUCGUAGGCUGCAACUCGCCUACGUGAAGGAGGAAUCGCUAGUAAUCGCAGGUCAGCAUACUGCGGUGAAUACGUUCCCGGGCCUUGUACACACCGCCCGUCACACCAUGGAAGUUGGCCAUGCCCGAAGUCGUUACUCCAACCCUUGUGGAGGAGGACGCCGAAGGUGGGGCUGAUGACUGGGGUGAAGUCGUAACAAGGUA
rnacentral:rRNA from 1 species